GGAACUGUUUGGGCUUUGAUAAGAUAUCACUACUCCCAGGUGAGAGGCGGCUGACAGCACAUCAAGGCAAAACAACACGUAGAAACACCGAACAGGGGAGCACAGAGUUGGAUGUUUUCCCUGAAAACAUUGGCAGUGUGGCUCCUCCUAAGCCUGUGUCUCAAUCCCGAACUGAAGGGACCAUCUUCCUGAGGCAGCUAUUCAAAACUGCUGCCAGCUCGCUUGCUUCUACUGAAUUGGCCAGUUACAGACAGACUGGUCAGGAGGUGAUGAACCUGUUUGAGCUGACUGAUUAUUAACCAGGAAUCAAGUUUCAUGCAUAGGCGAGCACAGUGGAAUGACGGAAGGAACCAAGUCUGUCUCUUUUUUUUAGGUCACAGUAAAGGAAGCCAUUUGACUUCACUGUGGUAGUUUUGGAUUGUGUAGAGAAUGGUUAGGACUGUGGGUUUGCGAAUCCUAAAGACCUGCUUUCAAGCUUUGGUCCUGCUAACUAGCUGUUUGAGUUCAGCUGCCAAAGGUCAUCUGACAUAAUAGCUGAUGAAUUCAAGCCCAGUGGAUUUCAUUUGCAAUUUUCAAUUUACUGAGGCCUCCAAACCCCACGGUGAUAAAAGCUUCCCCUAUCGUGGCCUGUCACAAACAUCAAGAAACUGCACAAACCCACAAGAAAGAAAAAAGAGAAAGCUGUGCAUCCUCGCAGGUACAGAUAAGGAGAACAGGAAGAAAUGGUAUCACGCAGGAAGGUAUGGAGCAGCUUGUGUGGCUAGUUCUCCAAAUGCCAGUUGAAAGGAAAAGACUAUGAAGAACAAUCAAAUAACUUCCACAGAAUAACGUCAUGUUUCUUUGGGGCUUUUGUGUGAAAAUUGCGUUCUAAUCUCUUAUUUGACAUGCCCCUAAACAAAAAUAUGAGUGUAAAUAUGCAAAUAAACAAAUGAAUAAAUAAUCUUUGCUUAUUUGAUCAUUGGAAAGAAAGCACACUCUGUGUGUUGUAUUUAGCAUAGUUUUGAUUUACAAAAUGCGUGCUCCUAAAGGAUCUUUUAUCAUGGAAGUGUCAGUCAGCACUAAGAAAUCAUUUGUUUUCUCGUAGAGAAAUGGUAGAUCCUUUGAUUGAUUUGCAAGGGCAGUCAAAGGACUGACAUAGCAACUACUUGUAAGUGGAUCUAGACACAGUGUAUAUUGAAGAUGUAUUAGCAAGGGAAGAAAGCCAUUUUCCCCUCCUGUCAAGCUAUUUACAGUGAACUUUGGCAGGAUCUGGGACUGAAUCUUGCUCCCAGCAAUUGUUCAAAUUGAGGAGACUAUAUGCGUGUUCCUUGCAGAAUGGUAAGUUUAAAAGUUGAGCAGCUCAUCUUCAUCCUAUCCUACACAACUCAUACGAUAGCUUACAAAGAGAAAGCAAAGAGAUGACCACUGUUUGAGGUACAACUGCUUGGAGAAUUCCAUUUCAGACAUGGAUGUCUGGAUCCCAUUUCUACCAAAUAGAUUCAGAAAGGCUUAUGAAAUUGGUCUAAUGAGGCAAGAGAACUUGGCAGAGGGCAUCUAACAACAUGCCUCAUGACGAAAUUUCUCAUGCCAGUUGACAAGAAAACCCAAGAAUGACAUCAACAAGACCAGGAUAUUAACUCCAUUUGUGUAUUGGUAACUGUGAGACACGCACAGGUUGGAAAGGAAAAGAGACUAAUUCCUGGUUGAACUGAUGUGAUUGUGAGAGGCUGCCUACUGUAGAAUGAUAACUUAAACUGUCACAGCAAAAAGCAAAAAUGUGGGCUAUUCAUCAUAAUUGAAUCCUUGGUUCUUUGAAAUUAAACUAUUUCUUAAGAUUUUCUAUUAGCAAAAAAUUUAAUGAUCUUUCAAUUCUUCAAAGUUUUAAAAUAGAAACUGUUUCCUCAAGUAGCUAAAAUGGCAGGAAUUAACAUUUUGAAAUAAGGCAUAAAAAAGUUUAUUCUAAGAUGCAGAAAAUACAGAAGGUAGCCAUAUUUUAGCAUUUUAUUGUUUUUUCUCCUACACAAAAUUGUCAGGAUGUCACUUUUCAAAAGUUGCUUCCUCUUUUCCCCCUUUUGUAGUUUCUAUAGGUUCAAAGAGAACUCUCUCCAUAAUUUGCAGUUUCUAUGGGUUCUCUUUGGAUUGUUAGCAUAAUACAGAGACCCUGGUGAUGGUAAAAGAUUGCUUAAUGGAGUCUUAAUUUAAUCAGUCCUCUAAAAAAAUACGUAUAACUUGGUGAGGGUUUUUCAUUAUCUCUGUUCUUCAAUGGCAGUGAUACAAGGCAAGCUGUACCAAUGGGUCUGUAGUUACAUAGCAGAAAGGUUAAUCUCUUUUAUGUUCCUUCUAUUAGAAAGGCAGUUCUCGAAUCUUCAGGGCAGAGUCCUAAAUUGGUCUUGUAGACUGGUUCACAGAGACUGUUCCCUCUUAUGCCCUACGGCUAAUUACAAUCAGUCAGGCCAGAGCAUUCACUGUCGUUUGAAUGAUGCGAUAGACUAUUUCCCGUUUCAUUAAUUAAUUUUUUUCAUCCCUUCACUUAGUAUUUAUUUAGUAUCUACUAAAUGCAGGACAACUAUGAAUGAGACUUUCCUUACUUUCAAGCAGUUUACAGAAGAGUGAAAUACAGAAUGUUUUACAUCUGCUCUCCCCACCUCCCAGAAUUGUUUUUCAUAUAGCCAUAAAAAGUUUAAAAUAAUGAAAAGUGUAUCUUGAGAAUUUGAGCAAUGGAGUGACACCAUUGACAUCUGGAUAUCUUAUUUCGGGUGAAAGCUGUGUUUCCCAUUUUUUUUGGUAAUACGUGCAUCAUCAUAAUAUUUUUGCCAAGUCUACGUACAAUCUGUACUUAUUUACUCAAUACUUUCCUUUGACAAUUCAGCUUUUUAAAAUUAACUAAGGUCAAUUAGAAAGAGAUAAUUAUCUAUAAUACCACAAAUGGAAAGCCUGUAUCAUGAGCUGUGAAUAAAUAAUCAUAAAUAUAAAUGCAUAACGAUUAUUGUAUUAGUCUGUGCACCAUCUACAUAAUUUCAUAUUUCACUACUGGUACGUGUUUGGAAAAUACUGGUUUGGCGUAUGGUGCUGAUAAAGACCAGUGUUGCAGGCUUGACCUCCGUAAGAACAGAUGUCCCAUGAGAACAGAUACUUUGAUUUGUUUCUUGCUGUACCUCCAGCUCCUAGAACAAUGCCUAGCACGAAUCAGGUACUAAAAAAUAUUAAAUAAAUAAGCAAAUAAAUAAGGGCCAGUUAGCUUCUCAAAGAUCAACCUGUAUUUCCGUUAUAGUCACACUAAUCAUACUUAAUUGUAGUUACUUGUCUAAGUCUCUCAAUCACUAGAUUGGUCAAAGACUUGGGCUUUCUUGUUCACUUCUGUUAUAAUCAGUGCCUAGACAAUGUCUGGCACACAGUAGGUGCUUAAUAAAUACUCACUGAAUGAAGGGAGAACACCAUUCCAAGGUCAUACAACUUUUUUGUCUAUAAUCUCACUGGUCAUUUUUAUAGAGGAGUUGAAUUGGCCAACAGUGGCUUAAAACUAUUCAGUACCCGGCACAUUAAAAAAAAAAAAAUGAAUGAAUGAAAAUUUUUGUGACACCAUAAAAAGAGAGUCAACUCCUUAUAUGAAAGAAAGAACUUUAAAGGAGAAUAGAUAAUCCUUUUUCAAUGUUUAUAUAUAGUGCCAAUUUUCAACUCUUGAAUAAGUCACCCAGGCAAGCC
ensembl:lncRNA